rnacentral:rRNA from 1 species
CCUACGAGAGGCAGCAGUGGGGAAUAUUGGACAAUGGGGGGAACCCUGAUCCAGCCAUGCCGCGUGUGUGAAGAAGGCCCUCGGGUUGUAAAGCACUUUCAGUGAGGAAGAACGCCUGGUGGUUAAUACCCAUCAGGAAAGACAUCACUCACAGAAGAAGCACCGGCUAACUCCGUGCCAGCAGCCGCGGUAAUACGGAGGGUGCGAGCGUUAAUCGGAAUUACUGGGCGUAAAGCGCGCGUAGGUGGCUUGAUAAGCCGGUUGUGAAAGCCCCGGGCUCAACCUGGGAACGGCAUCCGGAACUGUCAAGCUAGAGUGCAGGAGAGGAAGGUAGAAUUCCCGGUGUAGCGGUGAAAUGCGUAGAGAUCGGGAGGAAUACCAGUGGCGAAGGCGGCCUUCUGGACUGACACUGACACUGAGGUGCGAAAGCGUGGGUAGCAAACAGGAUUAGAUACCCGUGUAGUC